rnacentral:sRNA from 1 species
UUAUUGCGUGAGGGAUCGCAAUGGAAAUCCUUUUUGUUUUUUGCGGUGGAAAGGCGCAGGCAAAAACAAAAAGAUUGCAAUGAAGAGCCCGACCCGAG